rnacentral:tRNA from 1 species
GCCCCGUUCGUCUAGAGGCCUAGGACGCCAGGUUUUCAUCCUGGUAACACGGGUUCGAAUCCCGUACGGGGUA